UAGGGAAUCUUCCGCAAUGGGCGAAAGCCUGACGGAGCAACGCCGCGUGAGUGAUGAAGGUCUUCGGAUCGUAAAACUCUGUUAUUAGGGAAGAACAAAUGUGUAAGUAACUAUGCACGUCUUGACGGUACCUAAUCAGAAAGCCACGGCUAACUACGUGCCAGCAGCCGCGGUAAUACGUAGGUGGCAAGCGUUAUCCGGAAUUAUUGGGCGUAAAGCGCGCGCAGGCGGACUAGCCAGUCAGUCUUAAAAGUUCGGGGCUUAACCCCGUGAUGGGGUUGAAACUACUAGUCUAGAGUAUCGGAGAGGAAAGUGGAAUUCCUAGUGUAGCGGUGAAAUGCGUAGAUAUUAGGAAGAACACCAGUGGCGAAGGCGACUUUCUGGACGAACACUGACGCUGAGGCGCGAAAGCCAGGGGAGCGAACGGG
rnacentral:rRNA from 1 species